AUUCACCCUCAUACCGGACGGGGUAUUGAGGGAUGGUAUUUCUGGUGCUCAUAUCGGACGGAGUAUGGGGACGGCCCGAUUCACCCUCAUACCGGACGGGGUAUUGAGGGAUGGUAUUUCUGGUGCUCAUACCGGACGGAGUAUGGGGACGGCCGAUUAGUCAUGAAUGUUGAAUAUUAGUUCAUGCGUGGUGGGACAUCCUUAUGGAAUGAUACUAGUAGGCAAAUAAAAAAAAAAGUUGUUGUUAUUGCUUACUUGAAAAUCAGAUUAGAAUGUUAUUUGAGUUAUU
rnacentral:lncRNA from 1 species